rnacentral:rRNA from 1 species
AAUGUGAUCAGAAGGACCUGGAAAGGUCCGCCAUAGUGGGUGACAGCCCCGUAUGAGAAGCAUGAUUGGACGUAUCAAGUAGGGCGGAACACGUGAAAUUCUGUCUGAAGAUCGGAGGACCACCUUCGAAGGCUAAGUACUCCUUACUGACCGAUAGUGAACCAGUACCGUGAGGGAAAGGUGAAAAGCACCCCGAUUAGGGGAGUGAAACAGUACCUGAAACCGG